rnacentral:rRNA from 1 species
GCAUAUCAAUAAGCGGAGGAAAAGAAACCAACAGGGAUUGCCCUAGUAACGGCGAGUGAAGCGGCAACAGCUCAAAUUUGAAAUCUGGCCUCCUUUGGGGGUCCGAGUUGUAAUUUGCAGAGGGUGCUUUGGCGUCGGCAGCGGUCUAAGUUCCUUGGAACAGGACAUCACAGAGGGUGAGAAUCCCGUACGUGGUCGCCUGCCUUCGCCGUGUAAAGCCCCUUCGACGAGUCGAGUUGUUUGGGAAUGCAGCUCUAAAUGGGAGGUAAAUUUCUUCUAAAGCUAAAUACCGGCCAGAGACCGAUAGCGCACAAGUAGAGUGAUCGAAAGAUGAAAAGCACUUUGGAAAGAGAGUCAAACAGCACGUGAAAUUGUUGAAAGGGAAGCGCUUGCAGCCAGACUUGCUCGUAGUUGCUCAUCCGGGUCCGCCCGGAGCACUCUUCUGCGAGCAGGCCAGCAUCAGUUUGGGCGACCGGAUAAAGGCCUCUGUCAUGUAUCUUCCUUCGGGAUGACCUUAUAGGGGAGGCGUAAUGCGGCCAGCCCGGACUGAGGUCCGCGCUUCUGCUAGGAUGCUGGCGUAAUGGCUGUAAGCGGCCCGUCUUGAAACACGGACCAAGGAGUCUAACAUCUAUGCGAGUGUUUGGGUGUCAAGCCCGGGCGCGUAAUGAAAGUGAACGGAGGUGGGAACCCUCUCCGGGGGGUGCACCAUCGACCGAUCCUGAUGUCUUCGGAUGGAUUUGAGUAAGAGCAUAGCUGUUGGGACCCGAAAGAUGGUGAACUAUGCUUGAAUAGGGUGAAGCCAGAGGAAACUCUGGUGGAGGCUCGCAGCGGUUCUGACGUGCAAAUCGAUCGUCAAAUUUGGGCAUAGGGGCGAAAGACUAAUCGAACUAUCUAGUAGCUGGUUCCUG